rnacentral:rRNA from 1 species
ACGGGUGAGUAAUAUAUCGGAACGUGCCCAGUCGUGGGGGAUAACGCAGCGAAAGCUGUGCUAAUACCGCAUACGAUCUCUGGAUGAAAGCGGGGGACCGCAAGGCCUCGCGCGAUUGGAGCGGCCGAUAUCAGAUUAGCUAGUUGGUGGGGUAAAGGCCCACCAAGGCGACGAUCUGUAGCUGGUCUGAGAGGACGACCAGCCACACUGGAACUGAGACACGGUCCAGACUCCUACGGGAGGCAGCAGUGGGGAAUUUUGGACAAUGGGCGCAAGCCUGAUCCAGCAAUGCCGCGUGCAGGAUGAAGGCCUUCGGGUUGUAAACUGCUUUUGUACGGAACGAAACGGUCCUUUCUAAUACAGGGGGCUAAUGACGGUACCGUAAGAAUAAGCACCGGCUAACUACGUGCCAGCAGCCGCGGUAAUACGUAGGGUGCGAGCGUUAAUCGGAAUUACUGGGCGUAAAGCGUGCGCAGGCGGUAAUGUAAGACAGAUGUGAAAUCCCCGGGCUUAACCUGGGACCUGCAUUUGUGACUGCAUUGCUGGAGUGCGGCAGAGGGGGAUGGAAUUCCGCGUGUAGCAG